rnacentral:rRNA from 1 species
GAUUAGCUAGUUGGUAGGGUAAAGGCUUACCAAGGCAACGAUCAGUAGCUGGUCUGAGAGGACGACCAGCCACACUGGGACUGAGACACGGCCCAGACUCCUACGGGAGGCAGCAGUGGGGAAUUUUGGACAAUGGGCGAAAGCCUNAUCCAGCCAUGCCGCGUGANUGAAGAAGGCCUUCGGGUUGUAAAGCUCUUUUAGUCGGAAAGAAAGAGUCAUAGUAAANNNNUAUGAUUUUGACGGUACCGACAGAA